rnacentral:rRNA from 1 species
CCUACGGGAGACAGCAGUGAGGAAUAUUGGUCAAUGGGCGAGAGCCUGAACCAGCCAAGUCGCGUGAGGGAGUACUGCCCUAUGGGUUGUAAACCUCUUUUGUCGGGGAGCAAAAGCCGGACGUUUCCGGCUGUGAGAGUACCCGAAGAAAAAGCAUCGGCUAACUCCGUGCCAGCAGCCGCGGUAAUACGGAGGAUGCGAGCGUUAUCCGUAUUUAUUGGGUUUAAAGGUUGCGCAGGCGGAUUUUUAAGUCAGCGGUAAAAUCGUGGGGCUCAACCCCAUCCAGCCGUUGAAACUGGGGAUCUAGAGUGUGCGAGAGGUAUGCGGAAUGCGUGGUGUAGCGGUGAAAUGCAUAGAUAUCACGCAGAACCCCGAUUGCGAAGGCAGCAUACCGGUGCACAACUGACGCUCAGGCACGAAAGCGUGGGUAUCGAACAGGAUUAGAUACCCGAGUAGUC